GCCAACGUGGCAUAGUGGUUUGAGUGUUUGACUACAGCUCUGGAGACCAGGAUUUGAUUCCCUGUUCGGUCA